ensembl:lncRNA
AUGUGUAAAUAUAUGCCAGCUACUUGGAAUGUAUUAUUUCACUGUAAUCUCUAGAACAGCUUUUAUACAGAUAUAAUCAUUCCCACUUUAGUAAUAGUUUGCAUGAGGCAGGGUCAGCAUUCAAUCUUACAAGCAUGUCUUGCUUUGGAGCCCCUAAUUCUCCAGGUACCCAAACUCCUAGCUCGAACCAGCUUGAAAUUGACCUCGUUCUCACCAUUCCAUGUCCUAAUGUGGGGACUAGCAUCACUAAUCUACUAAGCUUGCCUUUGAGACUUUGCAUCUGAAAUAUUGAGGUGACCCUGACAUUGGAAUCCUGGUCACAUGCCCAAUGUUAAGAUGAUGAGACAUAUUUCUGGCUCCCAGGUGUGUCUUCCACUGAUAAGAGUUGUGUGAAGCUGCGGUGAUGCUCAAGCCUAGCUGCAUUAUUAGACUCACCUGGGCAGUUUUUAGAACUAAAAAGUCUGGGCCUAAGCCCAGUAAAACCGAACCAGAAAUGUGGGGACAGGAAGGGCCUGGGCAAUGGUAGGUUUCAAACCCUCCCACGGGGGUUCUAAAGUGCAGCAAGGGCUUAGAACUAAUGAGAGCAUCUUGCUCUCUGAACUGCACAGUCAAAGAAACAAAGGAUGAGAUGUUAUGUAUUGAAUCCUCAAGCAAGUUUUAUAUUCUUAUAUGUGAGCUAGGACCUCUGCUGUGAGAUAAUUUGUCAAUAAAACUAUCGUCAAGAUUUUAAACAUUGAGAUUUCUUACUUUCAACACAAAGAAUAGCAUGUGUCUAUAUCAAAGUACCAACAGGAAUUUGGAUUUAAACAGAUCUGGCAUUUUUCCUUUGUAUCUUUUUUUUCUUUUUGUCAAUUCGUUAUCAUCUUUUCCAAGAAAAAGAGCAAGAAGUGAGCAUCUCCUUUGGUUAAUCACUUGAAUGUGAAUGCCAAUAAUUCCAUUCUAAACAAUCCAGGCACAACAGUAGAGUCUGCUAAGAAGAAAAAUUAAAUAUAUGAAAUUCACAAGAACAGCUGCCAGACACUGAAUCUCUAAAAUAACUUCAGGGUAUAGAGGGUCAUGGGCUUCCCAGGUUAUGCUAGUGGUAAAGCACCUGCCUGCCAAGGCAGGAGAUAUAAGAGACUCAGGUUUGAUCCCUGGGUCAGGAAGAUCCCCUGAAAGAGGGCAUGGAAAACCACUCCAGUAAUUCUUGCCUGGAGAAUCCCAUGAACAGAGGAGCCUGGUCGGGUACGGCCCAUAGGGUCACAAAGAGUCGGAUACUUCUGAAGCGAUUCACCACGCACACAAUAGAGGGGUCACUUAUAUCUGAAGUGUGACUAGCAACACCAAGAAGCUACAGGAUCCUGACAAGUGCUGCAACAAGAGAACAUAACGUGAUGAAAAACCUGCAAAGAAUUCCUUGUUUCCUAGAAAUACGAGAUCUUGUUAAGAAUUUAAAAACUAUUAAUUUUUAAAAGGGGAUUGUUUUUCAGGACUCUCUCUCUUAGGACUAAAGCAUCCUUCAAUUGGAUAAGAGGAAAAGAAACAUUAAAUCUCAGCAUUUGAUGGCACGAGCUGAGGAUAUUUCAUUAGAUACAGACUGAGA